CCGCGGAAUAUGUGAAUUUGUGGUUCUUCUCUAGGUUCAUAGAGUAUUGUUUAUUUACACUUUUACGUUGAGUUGACUUUGUGACGAAACCUAAUAAAGUAAUUUAAAAGUCGAAACUAAAAAGGAAACUGGCACCCUACAGGGCCGCCUCUGUGAGGCAGCUUGAGAUUCUGUUAGAAGUUGCUGAAAGCAACUCAAAUAUUGCACUCGAUGGCCUCGGUGGAGGACCUCUCGGCCGCCAGGUAGCUCUUAAAAAUGGGAAGAGCUUUCCAGAAAGCUCAAUUCUGUGGGGGCAGGGUGUAUUAAACCUUCGUGGAGUGGAAGCGAAUUCCUGACCUGCCUACUCAACCAAGUACAUCUACAUGUACAUCACCAAUACGAGAAAUCAUUAUUGAUGAGCAGCUUAGUGACAACUAUACAACAAACAGAGGAGCCUUCACAAAUAGAAGCUACACAUAACCCGCUACAUAUUUCACUAGCAUUAGAAGUUUCUCAGUCUGUCUAUCAUGUUGAUACUGAGAUACCAGAAGUUAGCACACCAACCAGCACACAGCACCGUCAGCCUUUAAGAAGUAAUAAACUUAUCCAAAUAUAUUUGUAACCUUUUCAUAGCCAUUGUUCACCUAACAACUAACAUUUUUAAAUUCCAUUAAUAACAAGAUAUUAAGAUAAGCCUUUAUUAACUGAAUUGAAUUACAUUAAUGCUAUGUACAUAAUAUAUUUCAAAUAAAUAAAUAAUAUUUUAGUUUU